GAUGAACGCUAGCUACAGGCUUAACACAUGCAAGUCGAGGGGCAGCAUCAUCAAAGCUUGCUUUGAUGGAUGGCGACCGGCGCACGGGUGAGUAACACGUAUCCAACCUGCCGACAACACUGGGAUAGCCUUUCGAAAGAAAGAUUAAUACCGGAUGGUAUAGUUUUCCCGCAUGGGAUGAUUAUUAAAGAAUUUCGGUUGUCGAUGGGGAUGCGUUCCAUUAGGCAGUUGGCGGGGUAACGGCCCACCAAACCUACGAUGGAUAGGGGUUCUGAGAGGAAGGUCCCCCACAUUGGAACUGAGACACGGUCCAAACUCCUACGGGAGGCAGCAGUGAGGAAUAUUGGUCAAUGGACGAGAGUCUGAACCAGCCAAGUAGCGUGAAGGAUGACUGCCCUAUGGGUUGUAAACUUCUUUUAUACGGGAAUAAAGUGAGCCACGUGUGGUUUUUUGUAUGUACCGUAUGAAUA
rnacentral:rRNA from 1 species